GUUAGAGCCGGGCCGGGUCCCCCCGCGGCCCCGCGGCCGGCCCGGGAAGGGCACUUCCCGGGCAGAGCCGCCUCCCCGCCGCCUGGCCCGGCUCCGCGGCUCCCCGCCCGCUCUCGCCCCGCUCCCUCGGCGGGGACAGCCUGCCUCUUUAAGAAGUCUCCGCAGAUUUUCUCCCCUCGCAGAAUAAAUAAUGUAUUUUCUUUUUUUUCCUCUCCACUGUACACCUAUUUCCCCAGCGUGGCCGCUCCAUUGUUUCUGCUCCGCCGAGACGCAACCCCUGCCCGGCCGCGAACGGGGAGGUGCGAGCAGGGAGCGCAAAUGGACGCGAAACUUACCUACAGAUUGCAAAGCAGCCUUGCAGCAGCAAAAUAAUAAGGAAGAAGGCAGGCAAAAUCCUCUCUCCCCAACUGAUUUGCAGCUCUACUCGGUCUAUUUUAAGGCGGGGAAUCUCGGUUUAGUCUUCCUGAACACCAGGCACUCGGAAACCCUUCCACUCUGGAAACCGAAAGCAGGAGAAUACCUAUUCUCCCUUCUGUAUUUUUGUAUUAUUAAACAGGGGAAAACCACCCUGGAUCCGAUGUGCUCCCAAGCAUGCGGUGCCUCCGUCUCCAUCGCCUUCACGGGAUCAUUUUUACGGGGAUGGAAGGAACUACCGGGUGGGCAGGGGGAUGACACGGGAACGCCGAGAAACCCGGAGGGAGCAGCGGGGUAUCUCACUUUAGCCACCCCCCUUCACAUACACACACAUCCCCCCUUUAUUGCCGCCACCGUCCCUCGGGGCCGCUGUGAUUUUCAGAGCCCGGAGCUCCCGCCACCCAGGAAAUCCAGCCCGAUUUCCAGAGAGAAAAGAAGAAGGAACCGUCCUUGUCUGACGAGCACCGAUCUGCUAAAAAACAUCUCCCUCGACUUCUCUUCCCCUUGAUAAAACACUUCCAGGACAAUCAAUAUUUUAUGAUGAGUUGUUAAUAAGCCUAAUAUAUUCAUCCUUGCUCCAACGGGGCUUGUUAGAUUAUGCAAUUAAGAUAAGC
rnacentral:lncRNA from 1 species